rnacentral:lncRNA from 1 species
CUCUGCCUGGCUGCCCAGUCUGGAAAGUGAGGAGCGCCUCUUCCCGGCCGCCAUCCCGUCUAGGAAGUGAGGAGCGCCUCUUCCCGGCCGCCAUCCCAUCUAGGAAGUGAGGAGCGCCUCUUCCCGGCCACCUUCCCAUCUAGGAAGUGAGGAGCGUCUCUGCCCCGCCGCCCAUCGCCUGAGAUGUGGGGAGCGCCUCUGCCCCGCCGCCCCGUCUGGGAUGUGAGAGCGCCCGGCCGGGACCCCGUCUGGGAGAUGCAAGAGGAAAUUUGGAGAUGUUGCUUGAAAGUUUAAAGUAUUGGUGUUACCGAACCAUUAGAAUAUUACAUAUGGACAACGCCCAUCCAUUAGAAUAUUACGUAUGGACAACAUGGUGGAACAUUUCGAAUAAGGUUUGUCCCACAAAAUCCAAUAUAAAUGUUUGCUUUUGUCCUUUUUAAUGAUAUUGCAUUUGAAUUAUACUGAGUACAUUAUGACAUAUGAAGCUCUCAGACUGUAGGAUGGGAACAGCCAGACUUUAUGCAGUGCAGGUGCUGGCAAACUUUUUCUGUAAAGCAUCAGAGAGAACUAUUCUGGUUUUGCAGGUCAUGUGGUUUAUGUCAGAACACUUGACCGUUGUAGCACAAAAACAGCUAUAGACAAGAAGUAAAUGAAUAAGUGUGGCUCUCUUCCAAGAAAACUAUUUAAGGCCAAU